GUACUCACUUUGGCAGUGCAUAUGCUAAAAUUGGAAUGAUACAGAGAAGAUUAACAUUGUCCCUAAGCAAGAAUGACACACAAAUUCACGAGGAGUUCCAUAUAUUU
ensembl:snRNA U6 U6 spliceosomal RNA